UGUAGGAGUGAGCCUGCUCGCGAUAGCGCCGGUUCAGUCACCCGAUGUGUUGAAUGUGACGACGCUAUCGCGAGCAGGCUCACUCCUACA
rnacentral:misc_RNA from 1 species